UACUUCACUUGUCAAAUUUAGCAAAUCAAGAGAAUACUAAUACUACUAAUCACACGAGGAUUAAGUACUCACUAAACACCAAUAACUGCACAAAUGGAGAAAGAAAGAGACAACAAGGGAUGUCUGGUGAUCUCACUUUCAUAAUCUCUCUAAACCAUCUUCCACUGCCACACUAGGAAGGCUCAAACAAAAAUACCUAAGUUAGAGUGCACACCAGAAUGAAAACUAUUAUGUCACACGAAAAGCCCCGAUGGCGGCAGCAGCAUAUAGCAAGAUUGUAUAGCUACCUAAUGGGGUAGAAGCCCUAUAGAACUUAAAAGGAUGUUUUUAGGAUGCAAACACAUAAUUUUGUAAUCCAGAAGUAGUAUGCUUUUGACUAUAACUGAGAUACUUACAACCUUUCUACACAACCCGGCACACUGAAAGCUAUGAUUUCUGGAGGACGCAUUUCUCAUACAAAGCUAAGAUAUCCUUCUUGUUUGCGUUCUUCAGUUGGAGCAGUUCAGCGCCAAAGUUAUGCUUUGUAAGUUCCUGCUUUAGUUUCUGCACAGUAAACUUUGUAUAAUCUUCACCAUUCGUUUGUUGACUAUGACCAUCAUCUUCUCCUCUGAAUACAGAACCUCCAUCUUCUGGGGAGGUAUACUUUAAGGGACUGGUUGUACUCUUGGACCUCUUAUUUCCUCUGAUUGGUCUAUCAUUUGUAUCCAUGUCAUGGACAGAUUCAAUUCCAGCUUCGUAUUCAUCUAUCCUGGCACGUUUGCCAUGGGAAGCAGUUCUAAGUUUGCUAUCCAGUGCAGUUUCAUUCAGCCGAACUGCAGUUAACUGUUGUUGAAGAAGAUCUAGCUUUCCUUGUGUAGCUUGCAACUGAAGAGAGAGUGCUUCCGCCCUAUUGGUUGCUUCAGACCGCGCUGCACGCUCAGUCUCUAACAGACUUUCAAGGACUUGCACAGUACUGGCCCUUUGUUCAUUAUUUGAUUUCAGUAGCAUCUCAAUUUCCUUUUCCCUUUCUUCUACUCGGGCCUCCAGCAUUGCAACUUUUGACCUUGCAUCCUUCUCAGCGCGAUGAUACCUCCCUACUUCAUCAGUCAAGUCUUCCCUUUCCCUCUCUAACUUUUCAAUAGCUCUGUCAGCCUUCUCAAUCUGAGCUAAUCUUUCCAUAGCUAACCGUUGAAUUUCAUUCUUCUCUUUCAGGGCCGCAGCUGCUUCAGCCCUUGCUUUAUCAGCAAGCUCAGUCGCCCUUUUUGCCUCUCUUUCAGCUG
rnacentral:misc_RNA from 1 species